rnacentral:lncRNA from 1 species
UAAAAGACUGGUUCCUAAACGAAGUAGCCUUAAAGCUUAGAGAGGUUCUUAAGAGUUUCCUUGAUACUCUAAGGUUUUGCCAUAACCUUUAGGCGAGUGAAUUCCGGCAGUUGGUCGGGACUGGACUAACCCUUGUUUGGGUGAACCAGUAUAAAUCUCUUGUGUUGUUCUCUGUUAAUUAUAGUUUUAUCUCUUAUCUAAAAACAACACUUAAUUAAAAAGGAUCCCUCUUCCAGUUAUCUGGUCAAAUACAGAAGUUGACUACUUUACGCAGAUCCCUCAUCCAGUUAUCUGAUCAACCAUCUGAGGUUAUAUUCAUUAUUUUAAAUCCUUAUAUUUGUUCAAGUAUUACUUAUCAUAUAUAUCCAGUUAUCUGAUCAUUUACUUGCUUAUCAAUAUAUCCAGUUAUCUGGUCAUUUACUCUACAAUACAAUUUGUGUUUACAAUAUAACUUAGUAUUCAUAUACUAUAAUUGUGUGUAAAACACUAUCCAACAAGUUGACUCAGUAUUCAUAUACUGUGGUAAGCUUCGAAGAGUAAUAAUUACAUUAUUAUAUCAAUCAAAGUUAUAAUAUCUUUAUAUCAUUAUUGUUCAACCAUUUGUUUAUUAAGCAUUUACAGGUAAUUCCGCAAUCAACCUGUAUAAAUCGAAAAGAGACUAUUAUCCCCCCUUAUAGCCUCGGAUCUCGAUCCAACAAGUGGUAUCAGAGCCAAGUUCCGUUGAAGUCAGACUAACAUCUUACAACAACAACUAUGACUUCAAAUGGUGAAAACAGUACUGGUCUUGCAUCGAACAAACCUCCUAGGUUCGAUGGAGUAAAGUAUGACUUCUGGAAAAACAAGAUGAAGUUAUACUUAAAGUCAAUCAACAAUGGAGUCUAGAAAAUCAUAUUGGAAGAUUAUGAGAUUCCAACAAGCAAAGAAGAGACUUGGGGAGCAAUGAAUAUUCUCAAGGAAAACAACAACUCAAGAGCAUUGAAUGCACUAUAUGGUGCCCUCAAUGAAUCUGAGUAUAGCAGAAUUCGAUGCUUGGAUACAGCUCACAAGGUAUGGAAAGCUUUGGAGGACCUACAUGAAGGAACCUCCCACGUCAAGGAAAACAAGCUACUAAAUGCCACUUCUCAAUUCGAAAGAUUCUCUAUGAGGGAAGAUGAGACUAUCGCGGAAAUGAAUAUUCGACUAUCAGAAAUAGUCAACGAUCUGGCUGGACUAGGAGAUCCAGUAACUGAGAAAAAGCAAGUGAGCAAGAUUCUAAGGAGCCUUCCAAACAAAUACUACUCAAAAAGGAAUGCUAUCCAAGAAUCUUAUGAUCUGAAUAAACUCACAGUGGUAGAACUUUGCGGAAAUCUGAUGGCCUAUGAAGAAGAAAGAUUUAUCUCUAGAGCAAAAGAAGAGAAAAAGGACAUUGAUCUCAAAAGUCAAUCCGAUAACGAAGCAUCUGAUGAUGACUUGGCAAUGAUCACAAAUCAUUUAAAGAGAUAUCUCAUAAAAAGGAAAGAAAAGAGAAAUUCAAAGUUAGACUAUCAGAAUUCCGACAGAAAAGUGAGUAAAAACCACAAAGACUCAAAGGAGCCCAUCUGCUAUUUGUGCGACAAAUCUGGACACAUCAGACCUGAAUGUCCUCUGCUAAAGAAAGAAAAAGCACAUCAAGUACACUAGUCAGAUUCUGAGUCAGAUCAAGAAGACUGCCUUAUGGCUCAUGAGAACGACUCUGAGGUAAACUUUACAAAUACUAGAUUUAAUUCAUUAGAAGAAGCAUAUCUAGAAUUAAUGAAUAAAUAUAAAGCUGAAAAAAAAUUAAGUAAAUCAUUAAGACUAGAAUGCAUGAAUAGAUCACAUAUUGAUCAUUCAAUAGAAUUAGAAGAAUCACAAAAAGAAUGCAUGUUAUUAAAAGAAGAAAAUCAUAAACUCUCAAGUAAAAUAAAAAAGGGAGAUGAAAAAAUUAAAAUACUUAAGAGUCAAAAUUUUGAAUUACUCGAUAUUCUAGAAUCUGAAGAAAAUCAACCUAAGGAAAUAAAUGAUGAUAGGGUUGAAUUGUUAGAAUUAAAAAUAGAUAAUUUUGAGAAAAUCGUUAGAAAUAAAGAAAAAGAAACAAUCAUGCUUAAAACUGAAAUAGAAUUUAAGGAUAAACUCAUACUUGAGCAUGAAGAAACUUUACAAAAAUUAUCUGAAAAACAUAACAGCAUGCAAUUACAAACUGAAAGAAUAAAUGAGAAAAAUAAUGUUCUUCAAAAAUUCUUAAAUAGUUCAUCCAAGUUAAAUAACAUGUUGCAAGGUUCAAACUUGGGUCAAAAGAAAUUUGGCUUAGGGUUUGAGUCAGAUGCACCUAUUAACAAAACCUUAAAUGCCAUAACUUAUAAUGAUCAUUUUGUAAGGGAAUCUAGUUAUACAAAACCUUUACAUGCUUCAAUGUAUAAUGAUUAUUCUAGCUAUACAAAACUCAUUCAUCUUAAGAAAAAGAAAAAUCAUUCUAAGAUGAAUCAUCCAAAACAAAGAUGGAUGACUAAAGAUGAGUUAAGAAGUUAUAAGCAGAUUAAGUAUGUUAAUUCAUCCGGACCCAACUCAGUAUAGGUACCAAAGGAUUUUUCAACUUUUUCAGGAAAAGCAUGUGUCAAAAUGGAUGUUCGACAGCGGAUGCACAAGACACAUGACUGGGGAAUCAAGUCUACUAACAGACUUGGUAGACUUACCUACUAGUAAAAAGGUCAAGUUCGCCGAUAACAACGAAGGUACAAUAGCAGGUAGGGGGUAAUGUAGGAAAUACCGAAAAAUCAUUCUUAAGAAAUGUGUACUUAGUAAUUGGUCUAAAACACAACCUGAUUAGCAUAAGUCAAUUAUGUGAUAUUGGUUGUGUAGUAAAAUUUGAAAAAUAUAAUUGUUUUAUCACUAACUCUGAGGGAGUUAUUAUUGCCAGAGGAUAUAGAAAAAACAAUGCUUAUUCUAUAAAUUUUGAUAAGUCUAAUCCAACUCGUGACUUCUGCAUGCAUGCUGCAAGCGAUGAGAAAGUUUUAUGGCAUAGACGAUUAGGUCACACCAGCUACUCAAAACUAUCUAAAUUAUCUAAAGAAGAAUUAGUAACUGGGUUGCCUAAAAUAGCUUAUGAGAAAAGUAAUAUCUGUGAUAUUUGUCAAAAAGGAAAGCAACACAAAAGCCCGUUUAAAUCCCUCACAGAAAUAACCACUUCUAGACCCUUAGAGCUUCUUCACAUGGACUUAUUUGGGCCAACCCAAACCCAAAGUCUUGGAGGAAAAAGGUUCACCUAUGUAAUCAUUGAUGAUUAUUCUCGCUAUACAUGGGUGUUCUUUCUAAGAAACAAAAGUGAAACCUUUGGUGAAUUCUCUAAAUUUUGUACCCUAGUACAGAAUGAAAAAGGUUCAUCUAUCAUAAAAAUCAGAAGUGGUCGUAGAGGAGAAUUUGAAAACUCUGACUUUAAAGAGUACUGUAUAUCCAAUGGGAUAAAGCAUGAAUUUGCUUUUCCUCAAGCUCCACCUCAAAAUGGAAUAGUAGAAAGAAAAAAUCUUACUCUUCAAGAAAUGAGUAGGUCUAUGUUACAAGAACAUGACUCCCCUCAAUAUCUAUGGGCAGAAGCUAUAAGCACUGCAUGUUACACUCUCAAUAAGGUAAUCAUUAGAAAAACCUUAAACAAAACUCCCUAUGAACUUUGGAAUAACAGAAAACCCAAAGUUUCAUUCUUUAAAGUAUUUGAGAGUAAAUGCUAUGUUCUCACAACAAGGGGAAACCAAGAUAAAUUAGCACAAAAAUCUGAUGAAGGAAUCUUGGUUGGAUACUCAAAAAGGAGCAAGGCAUAUAGAGUCCUUCUCAAAGAAAGACAAACAUUGAUAGAAUCCCUACACGUUGACUUUGAUGAGUCCAUCUCUGUUCCAAACACAGAAGAAGGAGGAAUUGAAGUCACUCAACAAGUACCAUCUGACACUCCUAUAGAAAAAGAUGAUCAAGAAACAAUCAUCUCUGAACUUCUAUCAAAUAGGAAUUUUAGAAACCCAUACUCUGUAGAACAAAUUAUUGGAGAUCAACACACUGGCGUACAGACAAGAUCAUCUACGUAACUAUGUCCUAGAUUGCUUUGUAUCUCAAAUAAAGCUUAAGUAGAUCUAUGUGCAUAUAUAUAUGAACUUAAUAUAAUCUAUCAAAUAUUUAUAUGCGUACUUUUACUAUGAUUAUUCAUAUACUAAGUUCUGUACACACAUAGCUAAAUGCAUGCCUAUCAUAUAUGACAAUCACGUUAAUGCAUUUCAUGCUACUAAAAGUUCCAUGAUCUAAAACAACUAUCUGAUAAAUGCAUGCUUUACAUGCUUGAUUCAUGCAUACAGUCGUCAACUUAUUUAUGAAACUAAUCCUAUACAUGCCUGUUUUACGUAUUACAAAACAUCUGCAUGCUUAAAAUCAUUUGAUAAAUACAUAUAGUAUGCAUGCAAAGUAAAAUGAGUCUACCUACAUAUGAGAUGUACAAUACAUGCAUGAAAACUUCAAAACAACUCAUUACAUGUCACGAUUAUGCAUGCAAGAUUAACACCUGAUUAUAAAAAUAUAAUACAAUCUAUGCAUGAAUAUUCAAAGGAUCGGUGACUCAUGCCAUGUUGCUUGUAUUAUAAAUCUUAUACAUAUACAAAGAUAAGAUUCUCCAACAAACUUUAUCCAAGAAAAACACUAUUCAAGAUAAGAUCAAAGACAAAGCUUGGAUUUAUGUGAGAAAUCAAGGAGCCAUCCAUUGAAGAUCCAAGGGUGGACAUUGAGUGGCCAAGGCUAUAAAUAGAAGGGUAAACCCCUCAUUUUCACUUACCACACUACAAGCAAACUCAAGAGCUUUCACUCCACAUUUGCCCACACGUUUUUGCCUCCAAACUUUCAAGUGCCCAAGUGUCCUAGCUUUCCAAAGCUUCAAAAGCUCUCCAACUUCUUCUUCUAAUCUUCUUGUUCAUCUUUACAAGUAAGAAGUGUUGUUUGUUUUAAUAUUCCACUCCUCUAAUCACCUCUUGUGUGUGUCCACUUUGGUUGAGAGGGUUGUCUCAAUAGUACCAAAGUGUGAAAGAAGGUUUUUGAGCUCAACCAUAAAGCUCUAGUUUGGUUUUAUAGAGUUUCCGGGAAAACUCUUAAGUCGAGUCUACCUUGAAAGAUUUCAGAGGUUUUUAAGAGUUCCUUGAUACUCUAAGGUACUAACUUACCCGCAAAAGUUAGAGGUUCUUAAGAGUGCCCUUGAUACUCUAAGGUGUGAGUCUACCCGUAAAAGACUGGUUCCUAAACAAAGUAGUCUUAAAGCUUAAAGAGGUUUUUAAGAGUUCCUUGAUACUCUAAGGUACUAACUUACCCGCAAAAGUUAGAGGUUCUUAAGAGUGCCCUUGAUACUCUAAGGUGUGAGAAUACCCGUAAAAGACUGGUUCCUAAGCGAAGUAGCCUUAAAGUUUAAAGAGGUUCUUAAGAGUUUCCUUGAUACUCUAAGGUUUUGUCAUAACCUUUAGGCGAGUGAAUUCCAGCAGUUGGUCGAGACUGGACUAGCCAUUGUUUGGGUGAACCAGUAUAAAUCUCUUGUGUUGUUCGUUGUUCUCUGUUAAUUAUAGUUUUAUCUCUUAUCUAAAAACAACACUUAAUUAAAAAGGAUCCCUCUUCCAGUUAUCUGCUCAAGUACAGAGGUUGACUACUUUACGCAGAUCCCUCAUCCAGUUAUCUGGUCAACCAUCUGAAGUUAUAUUCAUUGUUUUAAAUCCUUAUAUUUGUUCAAGUAUUACUUAUCAUAUAUAUCCAAUUAUCUGGUCAUUUAUUUGUUUAUCAAUAUAUCUAGUUAUCUGGUCAUUUACUCUAUAAUAUAAUUUGUGUUUACAAUAUAACUUAGUAUUCAUAUACUAUAGUUGUGUGUAAAAAACUAUCAAGCAAGUUGACUCAGUAUUCAUAUACUGUGGUAAGCUUCGAAGAGUAAUAAUUACAUUAUUAUAUCAAUCAAAGUUAUAAUAUCUUUAUAUCAUUAUUGUUCAACCAUUUGUUUAUUAAGCAUUUACAGGUAAUUCCGCAAUCAACCUGUAUAAAUCGAAAAGAGACUAUUAUCCCCC